rnacentral:rRNA from 1 species
GAUGAACGCUAGCUACAGGCUUAACACAUGCAAGUCGAGGGGAAACGGCAUUAAGUGCUUGCACUUUUUGGACGUCGACCGGCGCACGGGUGAGUAACGCGUAUCCAACCUUCCCAUGACUAAGGGAUAACCUGCCGAAAGGCAGACUAAUACCUUAUGGUCUUCACUGACGGCAUCAGAUGUGAAGUAAAGAUUUAUCGGUUAUGGAUGGGGAUGCGUCUGAUUAGCUUGUUGGCGGGGUAACGGCCCACCAAGGCAACGAUCAGUAGGGGUUCUGAGAGGAAGGUCCCCCACAUUGGAACUGAGACACGGUCCAAACUCCUACGGGAGGCAGCAGUGAGGAAUAUUGGUCAAUGGGCGAGAGCCUGAACCAGCCAAGUAGCGUGCAGGAUGACGGCCCUAUGGGUUGUAAGCUGCUUUUGUAUGGGGAUAAAGUCAAUCACGUGUGAUUGUUUGCAGGUACCAUACGAAUAAGGACCGGCUAAUUCCGUG